rnacentral:misc_RNA from 1 species
CAGUUUACUUGUUAUAUUCCAUUUUCAGACAUGUGUACCUGCUAUUUUACCUCCCCUUAGAGAAAUAUAUCCAAGAAAUGCUGUUGAUGAUCUUACAGGUGUGAGGACUGUUGCAGAGGAACGCAUUAAAAAAAUAUGCCAUGCUAAUAUAUCUAGAUACAUGUCAGACAAAUACAGGGCAGCUAAUCGAAGUUCUCUUUCGGAGCUUUUUAUUUCAUUCCUUGCAAAGUUUUCUAACAUUAGUACAAAGGCUGUGAAGUUAGGAAUUUGCACAUUUACUGGACAAUGGCAAGACAUGAGAAGCAUUAUGAGAUGGUUGCCCAAAACAUACCCACUAUUUAUCGAGGACCCUUUUGAGCGGACAGAGAAUACUGCAAGGGCUGUUACUGUUGGAAACCUGGAAAGGAUAUCUGAAGCAUUUCAGUCGACAUAUCAUAGGCUUGUUUUGGACAAUCACAAUCGUAGUUCUCUCUUUGGCAUAUUAGUAAGGCCACAAAUAUCAAAUUUCAUUGCAGGAACAUCUGUUGGGAGCUCAAGUCGCACUCUCAUGGAAUACCGAAGUACUCGUCAACCAGUGAGCAGGAUUGUGUAUUCACAAUCACAAGUGCAGCAUCAAAUUCAGAACAUGAGCCUGGAAAGACAUCCCAAUUAUUUCUCUAAGAAAGGAGAGUCAUCCCAACAUUUUGAGCAAGCAAAGAGAGGAAAAUCGUCCCAACAUUUCAAAGUUGCGGGUGCAACAUCCAGUUCACAACACAAGACUGGAAAUACUUCUAACUAUUUCGCCAAGCAAAGACAGGACAGGUAUCCUGACUAUACAAGACUGGAAAAACAUUCCAACUACUUCACCAG